rnacentral:rRNA from 1 species
GUGUUCGGUGAGGAUGGUUGGGUUAAGUCCCGCAACGAGCGCAACCCUCAUCUUCAGUUGCCAUCGGGUAAGGCUGGGCACUUUGGAGAAACUGCCGGUGACAAGCCGGAGGAAGGCGGGGAUGACGUCAAGUCCUCAUGGCCCUUACGGGGUGGGCUACACACGUGCUACAAUGGCGGUGACAGCGGGCGGCGAAGGCGCGAGCCUGAGCCAAUCCCGAAAAGCCGUCUCAGUUCGGAUUGCACUUUGCAACUCGAGUGCAUGAAGUUGGAAUCGCUAGUAAUCGCGGAUCAGCAUGCCGCGGUGAAUACGUUCCCGGGCCUUGUACACACCGCCCGUCACGCCAUGGGAGUUGGUUUUACCCGAAGGCGGUCUUGNUGACCCGUAAGGGGGGCGGCCGACCACGGUAAGUCANGA